rnacentral:rRNA from 1 species
UACGAAGGGGACUAGCGUUGUUCGGAAUUACUGGGCGUAAAGCGCACGUAGGCGGAUUUGUAAGUCAGGGGUGAAAUCCCGGGGCUCAACCUCGGAACUGCCUUUGAUACUGCAAAUCUCGAGUCCGAUAGAGGUGGGUGGAAUUCCUAGUGUAGAGGUGAAAUUCGUAGAUAUUAGGAAGAACACCGGUGGCGAAGGCGGCCCACUGGAUCGGUACUGACGCUGAGGUGCGAAAGCGUGGGUAGCAAACAGG